rnacentral:rRNA from 13 species
AAAUUGAAGAGUUUGAUCAUGGCUCAGAUUGAACGCUGGCGGCAGGCCUAACACAUGCAAGUCGAACGGUAACAGGAAGCAGCUUGCUGCUUUGCUGACGAGUGGCGGACGGGUGAGUAAUGUCUGGGAAACUGCCUGAUGGAGGGGGAUAACUACUGGAAACGGUGGCUAAUACCGCAUAACGUCGCAAGACCAAAGAGGGGGACCUUCGGGCCUCUUGCCAUCAGAUGUGCCCAGAUGGGAUUAGCUUGUUGGUGAGGUAACGGCUCACCAAGGCGACGAUCCCUAGCUGGUCUGAGAGGAUGACCAGCCACACUGGAACUGAGACACGGUCCAGACUCCUACGGGAGGCAGCAGUGGGGAAUAUUGCACAAUGGGCGCAAGCCUGAUGCAGCCAUGCCGCGUGUAUGAAGAAGGCCUUCGGGUUGUAAAGUACUUUCAGCGGGGAG